UGGUAAUUCUGGAACCAGCCAUAGCAUCUGAACGUCCACCUGUGGCUAGGGGUCACAGGGCCUACAGGGAACAGGUCCUGGGACUGCCCGUUAGGGUUUAGCUGUAGGUCCGGGGUCCAGGAGGGCUGGUGUUCCCCUUCCUUAGUGAGAAUGAACCUGUCAAAUCCCAGCCAUGAGCUACACUGGAGGGUCACGUUCCCUCCUGCUGUCACCACAGGGCUCGGCAUGGCUGAGAUGGUGGGUUUGCUGUAGAU